AGACGGAUGGGCAUGCGGCGCAUUAGCUAGUUGGCGGGGUAACGGCCCACCAAGGCGACGAUGCGUAGGGGUUCUGAGAGGAAGGUCCCCCACACUGGUACUGAGACACGGACCAGACUCCUACGGGAGGCAGCAGUGAGGAAUAUUGGUCAAUGGGCGAGAGCCUGAACCAGCCAAGUCGCGUGAGGGAGUACUGCCCUAUGGGUUGUAAACCUCUUUUGUCGGGGAGCAAAAGCCGGACGUGUCCGGCUGUGAGAGUACCCGAAGAAAAAGCAUCGGCUAACUCCGUGCCAGCAGCCGCGGUAAUACGGAGGAUGCGAGCGUUAUCCGGAUUUAUUGGGUUUAAAGGGUGCGCAGGCGGAUUUUUAAGUCAGCGGUCAAAUCGUGGGGCUCAACCCCAUCCAGCCGUUGAAACUGGGGAUCUAGAGUGUGCGAGAGGUAUGCGGAAUGCGUGGUGUAGCGGUGAAAUGCAUAGAUAUCACGCAGAACCCCGAUUGCGAAGGCAGCAUACCGGUGCACAACUGACGCUCAGGCACGAAAGCGUGGGUAUCGAACAGGAUUAGAUACCCUGGUAGUCCACGCAGUAAACGAUGAAUGCUACCUGUUUGGCCAGAUUGAAGGCUGA
rnacentral:rRNA from 1 species